rnacentral:lncRNA from 1 species
AUGACAAGACCCCAGAAAAGAAAGAAAGGAAGGAAGCCUCAUAUGCAGCCGGUGCCCCCUGGCCUGGCCACACACUCUGCUUUCCAUCUUCUAGAAUUUCCUGUCGAUGGACUCCUACGACCUGUGGUCUCUGACGGGCUUCUUGGGUGGCUCCGGGUCAUCCAGGUCAUUGCCUCUCUCAGUCCUUCAUUUCCUUCCUUCUCAGCCAGUGUCAAGAGCUGUCGUUCUUCCAAGUUGCUUCUGAACCCCCAAGGCUAUGAGGGAAGGCCAGCCCUGUCCCGGCUGUCAUCGCUUGUCCCUUGAAGCUCAACUGUUCCUGACCCCCAGCUUUCACAAGACAUGGGGUUUUGCUGGCGGUAGAACCAGAGUCCUCGCUCUCCUGGCCGCCCUGCCACUGGCCGCCUCCAAGAAACUGUCACAGAGUGGCGGGUGGGCCUCUACUUGAGGAGCCCCCAGACCUCCCCACCCUUCCCACUCGCCUCUCCUCUAAGACUCUCUCCCUUCCCCUCCCUCUCUAGGACUCCCCCAUAAUUCCUUUGGCAGCCUUAGAUUUUUAGUAAUGACCCGGCUCAUUCUCAGGCUGGACCACUGAAACCUCUUAGAUGAGCUGGGCAUGGGCACGCACCCGUACUCCUGGCUACUGGGGAGGCUGAGGCAGGAGGAUCACAAGUUUGAGGCCAGCCUCAGCAACUUAUUGAGACCCUAUCUCAACAUAAAAUGAGAAGGGCAGGGGACAGAACACUUCUCAGUGGCAGAACACUUGUCUAGCAUGCACAAGGCCCUGGGUUCAAUUUCUUUGUACUGAAAAAAAAUUUUUAAUUAAAUUUUAAAUCAUUUUAAGCAAGGAGGUACACAGCCUGUGAAAUUGCUGAUAAUAAAUAAAUGUAAGA